rnacentral:rRNA from 1 species
UAGAGUUUGAUCCUGGCUCAGGUUGAACGCUGGCGGCAGGCCUAACACAUGCAAGUCGAGCGGAAACGAGUUAUCUGAACCUUCGGGGAACGAUAACGGCGUCGAGCGGCGGACGGGUGAGUAAUGCCUAGGAAAUUGCCCUGAUGUGGGGGAUAACCAUUGGAAACGAUGGCUAAUACCGCAUGAUGCCUACGGGCCAAAGAGGGGGACCUUCGGGCCUCUCGCGUCAGGAUAUGCCUAGGUGGGAUUAGCUAGUUGGUGAGGUAAGGGCUCACCAAGGCGACGAUCCCUAGCUGGUCUGAGAGGAUGAUCAGCCACACUGGAACUGAGACACGGUCCAGACUCCUACGGGAGGCAGCAGUGGGGAAUAUUGCACAAUGGGCGCAAGCCUGAUGCAGCCAUGCCGCGUGUAUGAAGAAGGCCUUCGGGUUGUAAAGUACUUUCAGUCGUGAGGAAGGUAGUGUAGUUAAUAGCUGCAUUAUUUGACGUUAGCGACAGAAGAAGCACCGGCUAACUCCGUGCCAGCAGCCGCGGUAAUACGGAGGGUGCGAGCGUUAAUCGGAAUUACUGGGCGUAAAGCGCAUGCAGGUGGUUUGUUAAGUCAGAUGUGAAAGCCCGGGGCUCAACCUCGGAAUAGCAUUUGAAACUGGCAGACUAGAGUACUGUAGAGGGGGGUAGAAUUUCAGGUGUAGCGGUGAAAUGCGUAGAGAUCUGAAGGAAUACCGGUGGCGAAGGCGGCCCCCUGGACAGAUACUGACACUCAGAUGCGAAAGCGUGGGGAGCAAACAGGAUUAGAUACCCUGGUAGUCCACGCCGUAAACGAUGUCUACUUGGAGGUUGUGGCCUUGAGCCGUGGCUUUCGGAGCUAACGCGUUAAGUAGACCGCCUGGGGAGUACGGUCGCAAGAUUAAAACUCAAAUGAAUUGACGGGGGCCCGCACAAGCGGUGGAGCAUGUGGUUUAAUUCGAUGCAACGCGAAGAACCUUACCUACUCUUGACAUCCAGAGAACUUUCCAGAGAUGGAUUGGUGCCUUCGGGAACUCUGAGACAGGUGCUGCAUGGCUGUCGUCAGCUCGUGUUGUGAAAUGUUGGGUUAAGUCCCGCAACGAGCGCAGCCCUUAUCCUUGUUUGCCAGCGAGUAAUGUCGGGAACUCCAGGGAGACUGCCGGUGAUAAACCGGAGGAAGGUGGGGACGACGUCAAGUCAUCAUGGCCCUUACGAGUAGGGCUACACACGUGCUACAAUGGCGCAUACAGAGGGCGGCCAACUUGCGAAAGUGAGCGAAUCCCAAAAAGUGCGUCGUAGUCCGGAUUGGAGUCUGCAACUCGACUCCAUGAAGUCGGAAUCGCUAGUAAUCGUGGAUCAGAAUGCCACGGUGAAUACGUUCCCGGGCCUUGUACACACCGCCCGUCACACCAUGGGAGUGGGCUGCAAAAGAAGUAGGUAGUUUAACCUUCGGGGGGACGCUUACCACUUUGUGGUUCAUGACUGGGGUGAAGUCGUAACAAGGUA